AGACGGAGGGUGCUAGCGUUGUUCGGAAUCAUUGGGCGUAAAGGGCGUGUAGGCGGAUCGUUAAGUCAUGCGUGAAAGCCCUCGGCUUAACCGAGGAAGGGCGUAUGAUACUGGCGACCUAGAGUUCGGAAGAGGGGGGUGGAAUUCCAGGUGUAGCGGUGAAAUGCGUAGAUAUCUGGAGGAACACCGGUGGCGAAGGCGACCCCCUGGUCCGACACUGACGCUGAGGUACGAAAGCGUGGGGAGCAAACAGGAUUAGAUACCCCGGUAGUCC
rnacentral:rRNA from 1 species